AUCACUUCGCUGCUGGAAUUAUAAGUCCAGAGGAAUCAAACGCCAGAGAAAUCACCAUUUCUCUGGAGUCAGAGAAAUCAUCAUUUCUCUGGAGUCAGCGAAAUCAAGAAGCCAGUGUAGCCAAGUAAUCACCAGAGGAGUCAAGAGUCAGAGCAGAGGGGAUAGAAGUCCAUUACAGCGGAAUCGAAUAGCCAGAGAAAUCACCAUUCCUCUGGCGAAAGCCAGAGCGGAAGCCAUUCCGCUGGCGAGAGCCGCGAUUUCCGCUAGGGUGGAGAUGACUUGUAGAGCGCGUCACAGCUGGACUUACCUUCCUUUGCACGAUUCUAUUCCUUUUAGAGUCCGGUUUUGCAUGGCAACUUUUAUGGUGAUCCAGAAGGAUUUGAAGUCUAUAAAUAGGGCCAUACUUUUCAUUGUAAAAAAAUCAAUCCCUUGCCCUAAUCUUUAGUUUCCGCUAGGCAGCCAAAGCUUAGGUUUAUUGCUUUCAUAGUUCUAGUUUCGAUUCAUGUUCUAGUUAGUUUAGUUUAUAGUUCUUUUAAUUCAUGUUUUAGAGUAGUUCCCGUUUAGAGUUGUAUUUACGUGACAGAUUACUUCUCGAGACGGUUUUACGGUAUUUCUUUA
rnacentral:lncRNA from 1 species